CUAUGCAUUUAGUGAUUUUGGAUGAGAGUUCACCAAACAAAAUAAGAAAACAAGAGAUCAAAGUGGUGAUCUAUCUGCUACUAGUACACGACAUCCCAUUGUUGGUGAUCUGAUAUGUCUUACAUCACUUGGGGGACAAUUGCAAGUACCUAGUCAGUUUGUUGACAUCAUUUCCACUUGAUAAAGACUACAUUAAUUUGGCGAUAGAUGAGACAAUCUUCCAUCACACAAACACGCGUUCUAUUUCUGUGAUGAUCGAUGAUAUAAAGGAUUUGAUGACCAUGAAUUGGCUUGACGUCUCAAUCAUACAGUUGUUUAUAUUAUUUCUUAAUCGGUUGUGCAAUCAAUUUCAAGUCACAUUAAUCAGAUUUGUCUGUCCGACUCAGAUUUCAAAGUAUAUGCUUAAACAGAAUGUUCCCGUUGUUACGUCAUAUUUCAUCCACAUCAUAGAGCAGAACAAAGAUAAACAAUUUAUUUUAGCAUCAUAUCA